UACAGAGGAUGCAAGCGUUAUCCGGAAUGAUUGGGCGUAAAGCGUCUGUAGGUGGCUUUUUAAGUCCGCCGUCAAAUCCCAGGGCUCAACUCUGGACAGGCGGUGGAAACUACCAAGCUGGAGUACGGUAGGGGCAGAGGGAAUUUCCGGUGGAGCGGUGAAAUGCGUAGAGAUCGGAAGGAACGCCGGUGGCGAAAGCGGCGUGCUGGGCACCUCCUGACGCUGAGGCGCGAAAGCCAGGGGAGCGAACGGG
rnacentral:rRNA from 1 species